rnacentral:piRNA from 1 species
UCAUCUCGAAACUAAUGAAGG